GACUCCCUUUUCUCGUGUACCCAUUUCCCGUAUACCCAUUUCCCGUCUCAUUUUCUUCUCUCUUUCUCUUCUUGGUAUACUCUCAUGUGUCUCAUUUUCUUCUCUAUUUCUCUUCCUGGUAUAUCCAUUUCCCGUGUCUCAUUUCCCAUUUCCCGUGUACCCAUUUCCCGUAUACCCAUUUAAAUGAGACCUAUCUUUCUCGCUCUCUCACUCCCCUUCACGAAAGACAAAUCCUGAGAAGGGCUACACCACAUUCGAAGGCGAUAUAGGAGUACUAGUUUGUCGGCGGUGGCAGAGAGGCGACUUCUCUUCGGCUCAAUCUCUGUGGCUUCGCCUCAUCGGCUUCUUUGACUCUCCCAUUUCCUAGCCCGCCUAUAACUCCCCCGUUUUCUUCUUCGCACCCAUCUGUGCCUCUCCCUGCAUCGAAUCUUCCAUUUACGCAAUACCCACCAUUAGAAUCGACCAGUCCCUUCUGAGGCUAGGAGGCACGAUCUUCCCUAGAGGCUUUGGUUUGAAAUCAGGUGGACACAUAAUUUCUGGGAAUGUUUUUGAACCUCGGGCAUUAAACGAACUUCUUCCUCAGUGGAAACAGGAAGAGUUUAGCAAUUAAAUCCGGCCUCCCCCGACCUCUGCUCUCACACUCUCUCUCCAUAUUUAUCGGCAACAGACAGUCCAACAAGCCGAGCAGCGGAGGAAGUAGAGCACCCACUGACGGCGACUUCUCCAACAGGCUCUCAGCUCGCUCUCUCUGACUAGCAGCGGCGCAGGAAGGGACUCCUCCAACAGGUUGGAGAGAAAGACAGUUAAGAGGAAAAGAGUUUUUGCUCGAACAUAUUGUUCACCUUCUUGCCAAUGAGCAAUCACAACUUCGUGUCUUGAAGAAGCUGAACCCGUAAGUUUAAUCUCUUUAAUGUUCAUUAAUGUUUGAUAUAUUUUUCUAUGCGAGUAUGUCCUUGUAUUGUCUUUAGAUUUCCAUUAAUCAUUAUGUGUUGUACCUAAAUAUUUUAUACUAAAUUGUCUUAUUCUGAAGUGAGAUUUGUGAAAUGUAUUUGAGAUUAUGUUGAUUUGGUUUCACAACUAGCUAUGUAGAGUUUUUCUUUUUCUUUUAAAGCUGUUGCUUAGUUUAUUAUUUGCAUAAACUUGUGAGGAUGAGUUCUAUGUAGAGGUAGAAUUACGUAUUUUAUGGAAAUUUUAUGUAAUGUUCAUGUAAUUUGUUGGUAAUAGUGUAAACUAUUAAACACUUGACAUAAGGUAGAGUAGAUUAUAUAUAUAUUUAAAGUGACUGGUAGAUUAUAUAUAUUUAAUGUUCAUGAUCAUGACUAUACGUUUAAUAGGCCCUCUCUUAUGCAUUUCAGAAAUAGUGACUUUUGGCUGUCUAAACUGUUGCUUUGAAUAUCAAACUUCUUCUGAUGUGGCCCCCAGGUUAGCAAGAAUAUAUACAGAAAAUUCAGAUUGUAUUUUACUGUUCAGAACAUAUAUAUUUCACAUGGAAAAAGUAAACUAUUUCUUACUUUUGAACUUGGGAGUGGUACAAAAAUACACACAUAUGUUUAAACAGUUCAGAACAUAUAUAUUUCACAAAAAAAUAGAUAAUAUGAUUUUGUGAUUUCUUAUAUUCAUGAUUUUAGAUUACUACUCCAGACCUCUUUGAUUUAAUUAAGUCUUUCUCAUUAAUAUUGCAUUCCA